UAAAGAACCAUUAGAUUGAUCAAAUAGAUAGGUAUGUAAUGCCAAGAAAAAGUCAUUGUUAAUAUACAAAAAAGGGAAGAUAUGAAUCAAGAGUAACGGUGGUAAAUGGUAUGAACGUAUAUUAUUAUAUUAUGAUUGUAGGAAAAGCAAACUGAAUGAAUGGCAGUUAUAUACGCCAUGGGUAAUACGAAUAAAAGAUUGAUACUAGGCCAGUAGAAAUAGCUGGACUGGAUUCAAUAAGUAUGGUCGAAUGGAAAUAAAGGAAAUAAAGGAUUUAUUUUUACAUUGACACGCUGAAAG